AUUGAACGCUGGCGGCAUGCCUUACACAUGCAAGUCGAACGGCAGCACGGGUGCUUGCACCUGGUGGCGAGUGGCGAACGGGUGAGUAAUACAUCGGAACUUACCUUAUCGUGGGGGAUAACGCAGCGAAAGCUGUGCUAAUACCGCAUACGCCCUGAGGGGGAAAGCGGGGGAUCGAAAGACCUCGCGCGAUUAGAGCGGCCGAUGCCUGAUUAGCUUGUUGGUGGGGUAAAAGCCCACCAAGGCGACGAUCAGUAGCUGGUCUGAGAGGACGAUCAGCCACACUGGGACUGGGACGCGGCCCAGACUCCUACGGGAGGCAGCAGUGGGGAAUUUUGGACAAUGGGGGCAACCCUGAUCCAGCAAUGCCGCGUGAGUGAAGAAGGCCUUCGGGUUGUAAAGCUCUUUUGUCAGGGAAGAAACACCGGCUCUAACACAGUCCGGGAAUGACGGUACCUGAAGAAUAAGCACCGGCUAACUACGUGCCAGCCGCCGCGGUAA
rnacentral:rRNA from 1 species